ensembl:lncRNA
UCACAGAUCAAGACGGAGUAUUGCUUUUAAUCGAGCCGGCUACGAAUCCUCCAGUUUAUGCAAGUCCGGUAGGCCUGUUUUUUUUUUUUUUACAUUUCUGUUGUAAGCGCAUCUCAAAAUACUCAGCCUAUAGGCCUAUAAUUGCUCUUUGUAUGACAGGAGGCCGAUGAAAAUAUUGCCAUGGAUGGGUCUGAAAGAACUGAGACUGUGGUCGAGGAAGCGGCGGGUAGGCCUACAUCAGGGUCGCAAUAUCAGCAUUUGACUACUAAAGAAUUAUAUCGACUUCAUCUUCAGCGGGAAAUCGCUAAG